ACCAGGAUGGCCAAGUGGUUAAGACAGUGGACUUAUGAUCUAAUGGAUUUAUGCCCAAGUAGGUUCACACCCCAAACCUGGUA